UUAAGUUAUUAAGGGCGCACGGUGGAUGCCUUGGCACUAGAAGCCGAUGAAGGACGUUACUAACGACGAUAUGCUUUGGGGAGCUGUAAGUAAGCUUUGAUCCAGAGAUUUCCGAAUGGGGAAACCCAGCAUGAGUUAUGUCAUGUUAUCGAUAUGUGAAUACAUAGCAUAUCAGAAGGCACACCCGGAGAACUGAAACAUCUUAGUACCCGGAGGAAGAGAAAGAAAAUUCGAUUCCCUUAGUAGCGGCGAGCGAAACGGGAAGAGCCCAAACCAACAAGCUUGCUUGUUGGGGUUGUAGGACACUCUAUACGGAGUUACAAAGGACGACAUUAGACGAAUCAUCUGGAAAGAUGAAUCAAAGAAGGUAAUAAUCCUGUAGUCGAAAAUGUUGUCUCUCUUGAGUGGAUCCUGAGUACGACGGAGCACGUGAAAUUCCGUCGGAAUCUGGGAGGACCAUCUCCUAAGGCUAAAUACUCUCUAGUGACCGAUAGUGAACCAGUACCGUGAGGGAAAGGUGAAAAGCGCCCCGGAAGGGGAGUGAAAUAGAACCUGAAACCGUGUGCUUACAAGUAGUCAGAGCCCGUUAAUGGGUGAUGGCGUGCCUUUUGUAGAAUGAACCGGCGAGUUACGAUUUGAUGCAAGGUUAAGCAGUAAAUGUGGAGCCGUAGCGAAAGCGAGUCUGAAUAGGGCGUUUAGUAUUUGGUCGUAGACCCGAAACCAGGUGAUCUACCCUUGGUCAGGUUGAAGUUCAGGUAACACUGAAUGGAGGACCGAACCGACUUACGUUGAAAAGUGAGCGGAUGAACUGAGGGUAGCGGAGAAAUUCCAAUCGAACCUGGAGAUAGCUGGUUCUCUCCGAAAUAGCUUUAGGGCUAGCCUCAAGUGAUGAUUAUUGGAGGUAGAGCACUGUUUGGACGAGGGGCCCCUCUCGGGUUACCGAAUUCAGACAAACUCCGAAUGCCAAUUAAUUUAACUUGGGAGUCAGAACAUGGGUGAUAAGGUCCGUGUUCGAAAGGGAAACAGCCCAGACCACCAGCUAAGGUCCCAAAAUAUAUGUUAAGUGGAAAAGGAUGUGGCGUUGCCCAGACAACUAGGAUGUUGGCUUAGAAGCAGCCAUCAUUUAAAGAGUGCGUAAUAGCUCACUAGUCGAGUGACACUGCGCCGAAAAUGUACCGGGGCUAAACAUAUUACCGAAGCUGUGGAUUGUCCUUUGGACAAUGGUAGGAGAGCGUUCUAAGGGCGUUGAAGCAUGAUCGUAAGGACAUGUGGAGCGCUUAGAAGUGAGAAUGCCGGUGUGAGUAGCGAAAGACGGGUGAGAAUCCCGUCCACCGAUUGACUAAGGUUUCCAGAGGAAGGCUCGUCCGCUCUGGGUUAGUCGGGUCCUAAGCUGAGGCCGACAGGCGUAGGCGAUGGAUAACAGGUUGAUAUUCCUGUACCACCUAUAAUCGUUUUAAUCGAUGGGGGGACGCAGUAGGAUAGGCGAAGCGUGCGAUUGGAUUGCACGUCUAAGCAGUAAGGCUGAGUAUUAGGCAAAUCCGGUACUCGUUAAGGCUGAGCUGUGAUGGGGAGAAGACAUUGAGUCUUCGAGUCGUUGAUUUCACACUGCCGAGAAAAGCCUCUAGAUAGAAAAUAGGUGCCCGUACCGCAAACCGACACAGGUAGUCAAGAUGAGAAUUCUAAGGUGAGCGAGCGAACUCUCGUUAAGGAACUCGGCAAAAUGACCCCGUAACUUCGGGAGAAGGGGUGCUCUUUAGGGUUAACGCCCAGAAGAGCCGCAGUGAAUAGGCCCAAGCGACUGUUUAUCAAAAACACAGGUCUCUGCUAAACCGUAAGGUGAUGUAUAGGGGCUGACGCCUGCCCGGUGCUGGAAGGUUAAGAGGAGUGGUUAGCUUCUGCGAAGCUACGAAUCGAAGCCCCAGUAAACGGCGGCCGUAACUAUAACGGUCCUAAGGUAGCGAAAUUCCUUGUCGGGUAAGUUCCGACCCGCACGAAAGGCGUAACGAUUUGGGCACUGUCUCAACGAGAGACUCGGUGAAAUCAUAGUACCUGUGAAGAUGCAGGUUACCCGCGACAGGACGGAAAGACCCCGUGGAGCUUUACUGUAGCCUGAUAUUGAAAUUCGGCACAGCUUGUACAGGAUAGGUAGGAGCCUUUGAAACGUGAGCGCUAGCUUACGUGGAGGCGCUGGUGGGAUACUACCCUAGCUGUGUUGGCUUUCUAACCCGCACCACUUAUCGUGGUGGGAGACAGUGUCAAGCGGGCAGUUUGACUGGGGCGGUCGCCUCCUAAAAGGUAACGGAGGCGCUCAAAGGUUCCCUCAGAAUGGUUGGAAAUCAUUCAUAGAGUGUAAAGGCAUAAGGGAGCUUGACUGCGAGACCUACAAGUCGAGCAGGGUCGAAAGACGGACUUAGUGAUCCGGUGGUUCCGCAUGGAAGGGCCAUCGCUCAACGGAUAAAAGCUACCCCGGGGAUAACAGGCUUAUCUCCCCCAAGAGUUCACAUCGACGGGGAGGUUUGGCACCUCGAUGUCGGCUCAUCGCAUCCUGGGGCUGUAGUCGGUCCCAAGGGUUGGGCUGUUCGCCCAUUAAAGCGGUACGCGAGCUGGGUUCAGAACGUCGUGAGACAGUUCGGUCCCUAUCCGUCGUGGGCGUAGGAAAUUUGAGAGGAGCUGUCCUUAGUACGAGAGGACCGGGAUGGACAUACCUCUGGUGUACCAGUUGUCGUGCCAACGGCAUAGCUGGGUAGCUAUGUGUGGACGGGAUAAGUGCUGAAAGCAUCUAAGCAUGAAGCCCCCCUCAAGAUGAGAUUUCCCAACUUCGGUUAUAAGAUCCCUCAAAGAUGAUGAGGUUAAUAGGUUCGAGGUGGAAGCAUGGUGACAUGUGGAGCUGACGAAUACUAAUCGAUCGAAGACUUAAUCAA
rnacentral:rRNA from 1 species